UACGUAUGGUGCAAGCGUUAUCCGGAUUUACUGGGCGUAAAGGGAGCGCAGGCGGUGCGCCAAGUCUGAUGUGAAACCCCGGGGCUCAACCCCGGGCAUGCAUUGGAAACUGGCGGGCUGGAGUGCCGGAGAGGUAAGCGGAAUUCCUAGUGUAGCGGUGAAAUGCGUAGAUAUUAGGAGGAACGCCAGUGGCGAAGGCGGCUUACUGGACGGCAACUGACGCUGAGGCUCGAAAGCGUGGGGAGCAAACAGG
rnacentral:rRNA from 1 species